AGCGAACGCUGGCGGCAGGUCUUAGGCAUGCAAGUCGAACGGGUGUAGUAAUACACCAGUGGCGAACGAGUGAGUAACGCGUGGGAAUCUGCCCAUCUCUGGGGAAUAACGUUUGGAAACGAACGCUAAUACCGCAUACGCCCGCAAGGGGAAAGAUUUAUCGGAGAUGGAUGAGCCCGCGUUGGAUUAGUUAGUUGGUGGGGUAACGGCCUACCAAGGCGAUGAUCCAUAGCUGGUCUGAGAGGACGAUCAGCCACGCUGGAACUGAGAUACGGUCCAGACUCAUACGGGAGGCAGCAGUGAGGAAUCUUCCGCAAUGGGCGAAAGCCUGACGGAGCGACACCGCGUGAAGGAUGAAGUCUUUUUUAGAUGUAAACUUCUGUUCUGAGGGACGAAAUUUUUGACGGUACCUCAGGAGAAAGCAUCGGCUAACCCUGUGCCAGCAGCCGCCGUAA
rnacentral:rRNA from 1 species